rnacentral:rRNA from 1 species
CCUACGGGUGGCUGCAGUAGGGAAUCUUCCACAAUGGACGACAGUCUGAUGGAGCAACGCCGCGUGAGUGCAGAAGGGUUUCGGCUCGUAAAGCUCUGUUGGUAGUGAAGAAAGAUAGAGGUAGUAACUGGCCUUUAUUUGACGGUAAUUACUUAGAAAGUCACGGCUACCGACGUUCCAGCCGCCGCGUUAAUACGUAGGUGGCAAGCUUUGUCCGGAUUUAUUGGGCGUAACGCGAGUGCAGGCGGUUCAAUAAGUCUGAUGUGAAAGCUUUAGGCUCAACCGGAGAAUUGCAUCAGAAACUGUUGAACGUGAGUGCAGAAGAGGAGAGUGGAACUCCAUGUGUAGCGGUGGAAUGCGUAGAUAUAUGGAAGAACACCAGUGGCGAAGGCGGCUCUCUGGUCUGCAACUGACGCUGAGGCUCGAAAGCAUGGGUAGCGAACAGGAUUAGAUACCCGAGUAGUC